rfam:Myotis brandtii contig248515, whole genome shotgun sequence.
GCUGGUGUGGCUCAGUGGAUAGAGCGUCAGCCUUUGGACUGAAGGGUCCCGGGUUCGAAUCCCGGUCAAGGGCA